rnacentral:rRNA from 1 species
GAGUUUGAUCGUGGCUCAGGACGAACGCUGGCGGCGUGCCUAAUACAUGCAAGUCGAGCGGAUCUUCAUUAGCUUGCUUUUGAAGAUCAGCGGCGGACGGGUGAGUAACACGUGGGCAACCUGCCUGUAAGACUGGGAUAACUUCGGGAAACCGGAGCUAAUACCGGAUGAUCCUUUUCCUCUCAUGAGGAAAAGCUGAAAGACGGUUUCGGCUGUCACUUACAGAUGGGCCCGCGGCGCAUUAGCUAGUUGGUGAGGUAACGGCUCACCAAGGCGACGAUGCGUAGCCGACCUGAGAGGGUGAUCGGUCACACUGGGACUGAGACACGGCCCAGACUCCUACGGGAGGCAGCAGUAGGGAAUCUUCCGCAAUGGACGAAAGUCUGACGGAGCAACGCCGCGUGAGCGAUGAAGGCCUU